GCCAGCAUGGUCUAGUGGUUUGAGCUUUGGACUAUGACUCUGGAGUUCAAGGUUCAAAUCCCUGCUUAGCCA
rnacentral:tRNA from 1 species